UGUCUUUCUUGUAGUGGGGGCUCCAGACCAGGAUGCAGUGCAGCAGAUGGGGCCUCAUGAGGGCAGAGCAGAGAGGGACAAUCACCUCCCUGUCCCUGCUGGCCAUUCUUCUGUUCUUCUUAAUCCAUGCUGUAAAAACCAUCCUCAAGGUGCUCUCAGCUGUGCACAGCACCUCAGGAGUCUCUCUCUGCUGUGGGAAUGUCAUAAUUGCAGGUUCACAGAUCACACAGUGUUGAUGAGCUCGGUGCUUCAUGUAGCACAACACUCCUUUCUGUCUCCUGUCCCUUUCCAAAACAACAAGUAAGAAUUCAACGUGUUGUGUUUCACAUCAUAUUGAUUGCUUUUUAUAAACUCAACUUUUACUGCUCUCAAAUUCGGUUAUUAUUCAUCAGUUAACACGAGCACAUCACACUGCAGGGGAAAAAACACAAACGUUUUCUAAACCCACAACACCACAUUCAGAAUGAACUUGGUAUGGUAACAAUGGCAAUGUCACAAACCAAUUCAGCUCUGGAAGCACCGUGUGCAGCAGGCAGGUGGCACAGACAUUUCUUUGGUCUUUCAGCUGAGCUCAGAAGUCAAGUGACACUGCCAGGAACCUUCAACCUGUGAGUCAAAGUACAGCAGCAUUUAACGAUGAAACUACCGAAGGAGUUCCAGCAGCACUUACCUGGGGCAGCUGCCUUCUUAUAUCUCACAGGUCAUAAACGAAACGUUUGACAAGACGCCUACAUCCCCUAACCUUGCCUUCAAUAUACAGCUCAGGGUUUUACUGUG